rnacentral:rRNA from 1 species
GAUGAACACUAGCGGGAGGCCUAACACAUGCAAGCCGAGCGGUAGAGUUUCUUCGGAAACUUGAGAGCGGCGCACGGGUGCGUAACACGUGUGCAACCUACCUUUAUCUGGGGGAUAGCCUUUCGAAAGGAAGAUUAAUACCCCAUAAUAUAAUGAUUGGCAUCAAUUAUUAUUGAAAACUCCGGUGGAUAGAGAUGGGCACGCGCAAGAUUAGAUAGUUGGUGAGGUAACGGCUCACCAAGUCAAUGAUCUUUAGGGGUCCUGAGAGGGAGAUCCCCCACACUGGUACUGAGACACGGACCAGACUCCUACGGGAGGCAGCAGUGAGGAAUAUUGGACAAUGGGUGAGAGCCUGAUCCAGCCAUCCCGCGUGAAGGAUGACGGUCCUAUGGAUUGUAAACUUCUUUUGUACAGGGAUAAACCUACCCUCGUGAGGGUAGCUGAAGGUACUGUACGAAUAAGCACCGGCUAACUCCGUG